CCGAACAACUCUACCUGCAAUUUUCAACUUACACCCUUUUGUUAGCAUAUCGACGAAUAUGUGAAAUGAGCUGUCAUGUCAGAUAGGCUCUCAUAAUUUCGGCGAAAGUGAGGCGAUCAUAAAAAUAAAAACAUCAUUCACUUACACCAUUUUGAUUUCACUCAUGAUCUGUUUCGUGUGCUGCUGAAAAAUUUUAAUACUUUCUAUCGGAUUUUGUUGUUAGAAUAGGAAAUGUUUUCCGGGUUGGAGAUGCUUCAAAAUGCAGCCACCCAAAUGGAAAAGAGAUGUCUGCCGGGUAGUGAUCCGACAAGUGAACGGAGUUCCAAUUGGAUGUAAGAAAGUCGAGAAAUCAAAAAAGGUGCAAUGAUCACCAGUAUGCUAAGCAACCGGAAUCGUCAUUUGUGCACACCGGAGCCAAUGUGAUGUACACAACCUUCCCCUUUGGAUCAACAUCAAAUUCGGGCGCUGUAAAACGUUUUCCGUUUUCCGACAUUUUCAGUGAGUAUUUCCUUGCUGCACACUUCGAUAAGCUUGGUAGUAACUCACCGAUAUUUAAACAGAAAAACUUUCCGGUACUUUGUGAUCUUAUAAUAUUUUCUAGAAGAUCGUAGCAACCUGUGGAGGAGGUGAAUGCAAAUAUUUUUGAGUUCAUGGUGCUAAAGUGCUUCAAAAGCUAAAUAAUUUUUCUGUUUUGAGGCGCCGUCUUUAAUGUUUUCUGUCUUUCCGGUUUUUCGUAGAUGUCUAGUGAUAAGGCCUGCAUCUAGAGAAUAGCUAGUUUAUUAUAAUCCCAAAAAUCGCGGGCUGCUGCUGCUAUAUUUAUAGCUCUCCUGUUUUGUGUGGAUGGAAACCGCUGGAAAUUUGACUGCAUUGAUUGUGUAUGUUCGGAAAGACCAAGAAGAAGGCCGGAAAAAUAGCACGUGAGCACAGAAGGAAAGUGCAGUACAUCAUUCUGGAUUUGCAGUCCCAUGAUCUAUUCAUCUAUUUCUAUUUAAGAUUAGGUAUAAAUAUAAUUGUAUUCACACAAUACAGCAGUUCUAUCUUUAAA